rnacentral:rRNA from 1 species
GAUGAACGCUGGCGGCGUGCCUAAUACAUGCAAGUCGAGCGAACAGACGAUGAUCUUUCUCCUCUUACUUUUUCGUCGGACGUUUUAGUAACACGUUUAUAACCUACCUUUAAGACUGGGAUUACUUCGGGAAACCGGUGCUUAUACCGGAUAAUAUAUUUAACCGCAUGGUUCUAUAUUUUAAUACGUUUUUUCUGUCACUUAUUGAUUCAUCCUCUCCGCAUUAGCUAGUUGGUAAGGUAACGGCUUACCAACGCAACGAUGCGUAGCCGACCUGAGAGGGGGAUCGGCAACACUGGAACUGAGACAAGGACAAGACAACUACGGGAGGCAGCAGUGGGGAAUAUGACGCAAUGGGCGAAAGCAUGACGGAGCAACGCCGCGUGAGUGAAGAAGGUCUGCGGAUCGUAAAACUCUGUUAUUAGGGAAGAACAAAUGUGAAAGUAAAUAUGCACGUAUUGACGGUACCUAAACAGAAAGCAACGGCUAACUACGUG